CUUGGUUAAACCUUUAUUCUUCAUCUCUGAGUUCUAGGGUUUUCUCAUCUCCCUACAAUCGAACGCGUCUGCUGUCCGCCGCUCCUCUCCUCUCGUCGACUCCCCAGUCCGUCUUGCCUCUCCUCUCGUUGACUCCCCCGUCCGCCGGCCACCUCGACUUCAUGUUUCCUCUCGUCGACUCCUUCGUCCGACGCCGGCCACCUUGACUUCGUCCGUUCGCCGUGCCUCCCCUGUUAUCCACGCCUCUCGUCGCUAUCCCUCUCUAUCAUCUUGUGAUUUGGGGGCUUUGUUGUCUCGGUUGAUCAUUGAAAGUGGUUGAAAAUUCUACAUCCUUACUGGACAAGUUAAUCCUCAAAAUUGAAUUUGUAUAUGUUUUUAAUUU